rnacentral:lncRNA from 1 species
CAGAAGUGUAUCAGAGUGCCAUGAUUUUACAUUGUCUAGGAUCUGAUAAUCAAGAAAGUACGGUUCAGCCUAUGAUCACUUCUAUUCCAAUCAAUUUAUGGGGCCGAGACUUGUUACAACAAUGGCAUGCAGAGAUUACUAUCCCAGCCUCCCUAUACAGCCCCAGGAAUCAAAAAAUCAUGACUAAAAUGGGAUAGCUCCCUAAAAAGGGACUAGGAAAGAAUGAAGAUGGCAUUAAAGUCCCAACUGAGGCUGAAAAAAAUCAAAAAAAGAAAAGGAAUAGGGCAUCCUUUUUAGAAGCGGU